CUGACCCAAAGCAUACAGUGCGACCCCAGCUCUGCAACCCCAGCUCUUCAUGUGUUUUGGGUAGUUAGGGAUGUCACACUUCUGUGGAGAGCCUGGAGUAAGUACAGAUCCCUAACUGUGGGGAAAAAAGUUUACGAAAUGUUCCUUUCUGCCAACUUUGCAUAUUUAAAUCUAGAGAUGUGUUUGAAGAAUAUAUGACCCUACAUAUAAUGCUACUGACAGCUGGAGAAAACGAGUUCAGUAAAAUAAGUAAAAUAAGAUCUGCAGCUUCUGAUACCUUAGAUUUUAAACUUAAAUAAGUUUAAAAUCUAAGGUAUCAGAAGCUGCAGAACAUAAUCCUUCCACUUUAAAAUAUUUGGUAUCAGUUGAGAUUUGUGAUACUGUUUGGAUGAUAGAGCAUUAUCAAUUGGAUGCAGGGUCUGGGUGAGCUCCAUUAAUUUGGCUGAAUUACAUUAGGUUUGGGGAAGGGGAGGGUCUCACACCACUUCAGUUCUGACAGCAUCACAGCACAUGUAGUUUCUGCUGAUUUUUAUGCUAGUGCUUAAUAUAUCAUUCCAGCAGCUUACCUAGGAAAGGAACAGAAGUUUCCUGAAGUUUGGCCUAAGGUGUGAAAGGACUUUCUUCAAGCCUACCCUCUGCUUCAAGUAUAUUAAUACCCAACAUUAUUUGACAAGCUUUCAAACUUCUUUCUUUAUAUUCUUCCAGUUAAAAUAAAAACAAAUCUAUUGUGAGGCAUCUGGAUGUUUCAGAGACGGAGAAGGUAAAACAAGGGAUCACGGCAUAGAGAACUUGUAUAUAUUGAAACAAGCUGAUGGUGGUUUGUUUAUGCUAGAAAGACAAAACACAUUCUAUCAAAGUUCCUGUAGACACUGAGCAGACUCAGUACACAGUGGGUCCUGGAACUCUGUGGAAAAUGUUUUGAGUUCUGGUUUGCAUUACCUAAUGGCAUUAAAACAUCAACAGUAAAAACAGGCAUCAUGCCUACACAAAAGUUUGUUUUCAUUGACAUCUGUGAUGUACUACAUGCCCAGACUGAAAAAGAAAUGGUGCCUGCCUGCCCUGUUCCUGUAAGAUCUUCAUGUCUGCAAUUGAUUUCAUUUUACUCUUCCCCUGACCACACAAUUCUUCUAAACCCCAGUCCAUUGGGUUCUGAUACAAAUUGGCACAGAAAUAAAACAGCCCCACAAAGACAUAAGUAGCCAUAUUGGUAUCUUAUGAAAAAUGCAGUGAUGUUUUGUAUGAAUGACAUGCAUUUUUACUCUUUUGCCACAUGUUGUGAUAGUCAUUAUUCAUGCAUGGAGUAGUCUUCUAAGUGAUGUUACUAAAAUGCAGUUUGUUUCUUCAGAUGUGGAUGAAAGCUGGCACUUUGUCAAGUUUAAAUGCAAUGAAGUUUUGAUCCUGAAGCUCAGUAUGUUGGUUACUGUGUACAUGCAUAAAUGGUCUGACCAAGGUUCCUGAUCUCACAAAAGUGUACUUGCUAAGAUAAAUGACAAGUGGACAUACUCCAAGGAAAAGAUCAUUUAGAUUGUCCUUGUCUUCACGAGUUCCUGCAUCAGAUUGCAUGUGUGUGGAAUGAGAGAUUUCUGAAUGGAUGAACGACGCUGAUGGGAAAUGUGACUGACCACAGGAUGGUUUCAGGACAUCUUGUUCUACACACAACUGGAGAAGAAAUUACCUCAAAUAAAGCAUUCUGAUUGCAA